rnacentral:lncRNA from 1 species
CAGGUUCUUACUGGAACUUCCUGAUGCAAAUACCUCUUCACAUGCAGGGCUUUUUCUUCCACAUCCCACUGUGACUCCUGCAGAGAGGAACUGUUCUAGAAGUUUAGAAAGAAUCUCAAGCAGCAGAAAAUAAAUCUUGGCCUAAAGAUGAGCUGUUAACAUAUAAUAAGCAGGUGAAGCAGACAAGUUUGAUUAAAAGAUCAGUCUCAGCUCUGGAGAUGAAUACUUUCAAAGAUGAAACUACGUUAAAUAUGUCAGCUAAUUUCAAAACCAGCAUGAAAGAAUUGAAGGUUAUGAAGAAAUGGAUAGCUGAGCCAGAGGUUGAGACAGAGAUCAGGAAAAGCUCCCCUGCCAAGCACCCACUGAAUCAAGCCAUCUCCUGUGGUCAUCUUCAGACAACAUGGGCAGAUGUACCAGUAUUAAAAACACCUGCUGACUGGACAAGAGGAUGGCACCUUUCAGCACAUUUGUUCCUGUGAAAACCAGAUACUUAAAUGUAUAUCUGUGUCUCUAGGAAGGCUUCCUAUUCACCGUAAACUCAAUACCAAGGUGUUUUCAGUAAUCAAACAUUAUCAGACCCCCAUCAUGCCUUGUUUGUUAGUUUUUGAAAAGUUUGCAGAAGGGAGGGGAUGGAAUUCCAAAAUAAACUUCUGCUUGCAUGUGGAUCA